rnacentral:rRNA from 1 species
ACGAGAAGACCCCAUGGAGCUUUAAACCUGACUACACCCCUAUCUAUUAUACCCUUAAAUCAACAGGGCCUUUGUCUGUCGGUUUUAGGUUGGGGUGACCGCGGAGCAUAAAUUAACCUCCAAGAUGAACUGGACUAACCCAUUAUCUAAGAUUUACACCUCAAAGAAUCAGCACACUGACAUAAAAUGAUCCGACAUUCGAUCAACGAACCAAGUUACCCUGGGGAUAACAGCGCAAUCUACUUCAAGAGCCCCUAUCGACAAGCAGGUUUACGACCUCGAUGUUGGAUCAGGGUAUCCUAGUGGUGCAACAGCUACUAAAGGUUCGUUUGUUCAACGAUUAAAACCCU